GCCUAGGAUGGAGCCCAGGAGCAUGCAGGUUUAAUCAGUACCAGGUGGCUCUAAUGCUGGGUAUGUUCACCAUGGUUGGAGUACUGCGAUCAGCCCUCCUUACCCAUGCCCUGGAAGCUGUCCUGCCCGAGGGACUCAUACUGACAUCCACACAUUUCCCCAAACAGCUGCAUUAUCUCAAGGAGAAGAGGGUCCUGCCCACCCCACAGACCCAGGCCACCCAGGAAGGGGCCUUGCUGAACAAGCGCCGGGGCAGCGUGCCCAUCCUGCGGCAGUGGCUCACCGGCCGAGGCCGACCUGUGUAUGAUGGCCAGGCCUGGGUGUUGGCUGCUGUUGCUUGCACAGUGCUGCGAUGCCUGGGAAUCCCUGCCCGCGUGGUGACCACGUUUGCCUCAGCACAGGGCACUGGUGGGCGUCUGCUCGUAGAUGAAUACUAUAAUGAGGAGGGACUUCAGAACGGAGAAGGCCAGAGAGGCAGAAUCUGGAUCUUCCAGACUUCCACAGAGUGCUGGAUGACGCGGCCCGCCUUGCCCCAGGGUUAUGAUGGAUGGCAGAUUCUGCACCCAAGUGCUCCUAAUGGAGUCCUGGGGUUCUGUGAUCUGGUGCCGGUCAGAGCAGUCAAGGAGGGGAUGCUGGGGCUGACCCCAGCAGUGUCAGACCUUUUUGCUGCCAUAAAUGCCUCAUGUGUGGUCUGGAAGUGCUGUGAGGAUGGGACACUUGAGUUGACUGACUCCAACACAAAGUAUGUUGGCAACAACAUCAGCACCAAGGGUGUGGGCAGUGACCGCUGCGAGGACAUCACUCAGAACUACAAGUAUCCUGAAGGGUCUCUUCAGGAAAAAGAGGUGCUGGAGAGAGUCAAGAAAGAGAAAAUGGAACAUGGAAAAGACAACGGCAUCCGUCCUCCCAGUCUCGAGACUGCCAAUCCUCUGUACCUGCUCUUGAAAGCACCCAGCUCCCUACCCCUGAGAGGGGAUGCCCAGAUCUCAGUGACACUGGUUAAUCACAGUGAGCAGGAGAAGGCAGUGCAGCUGGCAAUUGGGGUCCAGGCUGUGCACUACAACGGUGUCCUUGCUGCCAAGCUCUGGAGGAAGAAGCUGCCCCUCACGCUCAGUGCCAACCUGGAAAAGACAAUAACCAUCAACCUGUUCUUCUCCAAUUUUGAACGAAACCCACCUGAGAACACCUUCCUUAGACUCACCGCCAUGGCAACACACUCUGAGUCCAGCCUUAGCUGCUUUGCUCAGGAAGACAUUGCCAUUUGUAGACCACACCUUGCCAUCAAGAUGCCAGAGAAAGCAGAGCAGUAUCAACCCCUCACAGCCUCAGUCAGCAUCCAGAACUCCCUAGAUGCCCCCAUGGAGGACUGUGUGAUCUCCAUCCUGGGAAGGGGGCUCAUUCACAGAGAGAGGAGCUACAGAUUCCGUUCAGUGUGGCCUGAAAACACCAUGUGUGCCAAGUUCCAGUUCACGCCAACACAUGUGGGGCUCCAGAGACUCACUGUGGAAGUGGACUGCAACAUGUUCCAGAACCUAACCAACUAUAAAAGCGUCACCGUGGUAGCCCCUGAACUUUCAGCUUAAACUUCCAGCUCUAUCACCACUCUCCUGCAAACCCUUG
rnacentral:sRNA from 1 species